rnacentral:tRNA from 2 species
GGGCCCGUAGCUCAGCUGGACAGAGCGCUAGCCUUCUAAGUUAGAGGUCGCGGGUUCGAAUCCCGCCGGGCCCG